GGGUGAACCCUCACAGCAAACUCCACCCGAUUUUCAAGCACUAAUUAAUUCAGCGGUGGCGGCCUCAAUGGAAAAGGCCAUAGCGAAACUAUUGGUCCAAACCCCACAGGGGGACCCGGACACCAAAGGCCAGGAGAAGCUUUCAGGGGAUAGUGCUCCCCCUAAGAGACAUUGGAAGGGCAAUGGCCCAGCCCCACGGACGGCAAAGGGCAAAGCCCCACUCAAAAGGAGCCGCCCAUCGGACCGCUUAGAUCCG